rnacentral:rRNA from 1 species
UACGUAGGGGGCAAGCGUUAUCCGGAAUGAUUGGGCGUAAAGCGUCCGCAGGUGGCUGUGUAAGUCUGCUGUCAAAGAGCGAAGCUCAACUUCGUAAAGGCAGUGGAAACUACACGGCUAGAGUGCGUUCGGGGCAGAGGGAAUUCCUGGUGUAGCGGUGAAAUGCGUAGAGAUCAGGAAGAACACCGGUGGCGAAGGCGCUCUGCUAGGCCGCAACUGACACUGAGGGACGAAAGCUAGGGGAGCGAAUGGG